ensembl:snoRNA
AGCACCUCUGCAAUCAUUGUGGUAGUGGCUGUUGUAUCAUCUGUGUGUCAGUAGGUGGCAGAGAGCAGAGAGUCUAUGUCUAAGCUCAGUGUUCUGACCUUUGAGCAUCUGAAUAGUCAGUAGCCUAACAUU